AGUCGAGCGGUAACAGAAAGUAGCUUGCUACUUUGCUGACGAGCGGCGGACGGGUGAGUAAUGCUUGGGAACAUGCCUUGAGGUGGGGGACAACAGUUGGAAACGACUGCUAAUACCGCAUAAUGUCUACGGACCAAAGGGGGCUUCGGCUCUCGCCUUUAGAUUGGCCCAAGUGGGAUUAGCUAGUUGGUGAGGUAAUGGCUCACCAAGGCAACGAUCCCUAGCUGGUUUGAGAGGAUGAUCAGCCACACUGGAACUGAGACACGGUCCAGACUCCUACGGGAGGCAGCAGUGGGGAAUAUUGCACAAUGGGCGAAAGCCUGAUGCAGCCAUGCCGCGUGUGUGAAGAAGGCCUUCGGGUUGUAAAGCACUUUCAGUCAGGAGGAAAGGGUGUGAGUUAAUACCUCAUAUCUGUGACGUUACUGACAGAAGAAGCACCGGCUAACUCCGUGCCAGCAGCCGCGGUAAUACGGAGGGUGCGAGCGUUAAUCGGAAUUACUGGGCGUAAAGCGUACGCAGGCGGUUUGUUAAGCGAGAUGUGAAAGCCCCGGGCUCAACCUGGGAACUGCAUUUCGAACUGGCAAACUAGAGUGUGAUAGAGGGUGGUAGAAUUUUCAGGUGUAGCGGUGAAAUGCGUAAAGAUCUGAAGG
rnacentral:rRNA from 1 species